rnacentral:lncRNA from 1 species
UUCAACAAAUCCACCAAUACUGAUCUUCCCACUUGCCAGUCGUACUCAGCAGGACAAUGAGGACCGAGCGCGCUGCUCUUUGCAUUGUCAUGUUGAUUAUGUCUUCAACACUCUUGUCCUGCUUUCCUUGUAAGUAUAUAACUUCUUUUGUACUUACAUUAAUUCCACUCCAUCGUGGUCUGUAAAGUCAAAUUGUGGAUGCAUGCAGUUCCGGUAUGUCAUUUCCAUUUACCUGGGUGCACUGAACCGCUUUGCCAAACAAAAUGCUCUGAGUAUGCCAAUAAGGUUAACAAAGAGGUAAAGAGCUCCAAAUGUGAUAAGCCGGAUAUUUGCCACUGUGAGUUGUCUACCAAGCAGCAUCUGCCACUUACGACCGAAGUCAUGGGAUUGGCUGAUGCAUUGGACAAUAAUGGAACUUCUGUUUGAAUAUAAUAUAUAGGACUAAAAUUGUUACCAACGAUGGAUAGGGUGGUUACAUUGAGGCAGACAAUACUGUAUUGCUAGCCCUUGCGUGUACUUUAUUGUUGACCUGUUUCCAUCCAAUUAUAAUAAAAUGAUUGUGCAUCUUUCCUAUACUUCUGCUCCAUCCAAUUAUAAUAAAAUGUUUUGGUUACGACUAAGUUAUUUCAGACCAUGCUGAUUGCUGAGUUUGGUACUUUCAAAAUAGCCCUUGGGUUUGGUCGAAGCCAGACCAAGAACUCCUUUGCACAAGACCACCCAUGAAUCAAUCGGACUAUUGUGCACCACGUUGCCUGACACCAAUGACCUUGCGGCAGUUUGCUCUCCCUAAAAAAAGGCUAAUGGUCAUGGCUCUACCUGAUGGGAACAGGACUGGGGAAAAAACUCCCAUGGCUGAUGAGCGACUGCCAGGGUUGGUGACAGACUCGUUUUGGGAUAUCAGCGCAAUUAGUGGUAGCAUGUGGGGAUAAACUGUUGGGGAUGAGCGAGUCCAAGAUUUUAUAUGUAUUGGACGGUUCCCAUUUGUUGGGCCAUUAGUAUAGCACGCUGCAAA